AGUACACACCAAGGAGCAAGUUGGUGCCAUCUGGAUCAUGUGCUCUUCCUUUGUGUGAAAAGGUGGCAGCAGCAAUUCUGAGAAGACAUAUGAUGAAUAGAAGUGUGGCUCCAGGCAGGAAAUCAAGAGCAUAAGGACAGUGGCUACCUGAAAGCCUAAAAGAUGCAGAAGACCAAGACGGGGGGUGGACCAGAAAACCCCAGCAUUUUGGGGAGGUAUGGAGGACCAGAGUACUGAUGUGGAAUGGCUACCUUGAGUUCAACUGCCAGUCUAGGUUCUCAGCGGUGACUGGACAAGCCAGUUCUAGAGUUGGUGACAGCCUCAGAAAUUUUCCUCAGUGGUGUGGCAGCAGAGGAAAAUUUGUAUCCGUGGCUUACCAGUGUCUGCUGUGGAUGAGCACUUCUUCCUCGGUAAUGGAUGUCCUGCCCUGCCUUCUGCCACCUUCUUACACUGGACCUUCUUCAGGGGAAUCCCUGCGUAUGAAGAGCAUCCCAGGGGUAACUCACAGUUGGAUGGGACUGGAGCGCUCCUGUUCAGGGCUGGGAGACUUUAAGUGGAGCUAUAGGAGCUGCUAAUGACAUUUCGCUUGAAACAGCAGGCCUGGGAGAUCUCAGCUGUCUUGGGAGUUCUGGGUACAGAGGUUUCCCUGCAGAGCCCCAGGCCUGGGCACAAAGAAAGUCAGGUGACUGUGGGCCACCAGGAUCCUAACACCAGUCACUGGAGUGGCACAAUCUGCUUUUAGGAUCCUGAAAUCUAGCCAAUGGCAGUGACAUUAACUCAUAAUCCUAUAUAUAUAUUUUCAUGUGGAAAUUUAAGUUUUUAGAAGUUUCUAAAUAAUACCUUAAAAGGAGUUGGGAGGCCCUUUGUACACAUGAUUUUUGACUAAGUGUACAAUAAACUUUAACCCAGUUAGCUGAAGUACAAUUGUAACAUAUUACUUGGAACAAAAUGAUCAGAAGGUUAUCUAAAUGUUUGUUAAUAUUCCAAUUUUGGAUAAAAGAUAUCCAAAAUGAAGAUAAGUGUGCUUAAAUUUCAGGAGUGGAGCUAGCUGAAUUGCAUCCCAAUAAGCCACAUCUUUCUUGAGAUAGCUCUAAUUUCUAUGCAGGUUCCACAUAGCCUCACCCACUCUUCCCUGAGUUCCAGUGUCCAAUUGCCAGACCUGUGGUGUUUCCUUACUGUUCUCCUAUCAGACAAAAGGAAAACAGCAUGUAUUCCUUCUGCGUGUAAGAGUAGCAAGUAAAAUGGCUUUGUGAUUGUGAGAAUUUUCUCCAAGGAGUGCCCUAAAUUAAAAACACUAUUGUAGAAAGUUUGUAUUUCUUUCUUUUCUCCCAUUUAAUAUCCAAGAUGCAAAAAAUACACCUAAAGAUGCUAAGAAACCUUCAUGAUUUAUUGUUUUUAAUAUAACAAAAUAACAUUAUAAUGGCAAAAGAAUCUGCUUUAUCCAAUGUGUUUUGACAUCUUCCAUUUGAGAAGCUUGGAUCCUAAGUCCCUGAAAUUCUGAAGAUUAUGGAAAUGUGAAAUAUGUUUUUAAAGUAUGAAUACUUCUUUAUUUGGAAAGCUUACUGAUAUUUUUCAGGUAUUCUGUAAACUCCAUGAAACUGUAUUCAAAGAUAAUGGAAGGUUUUGGAAGGUACAUUUAUAAGGUAUUCCUGUUACUAUGAAAUUUACAAAUAUAAAAUCAAUAAAAAAUAUAUUAGGUUCUGGA